rnacentral:rRNA from 1 species
AGUGAACGCUGGCGGUAGGCCUAACACAUGCAAGUCGAACGGCAGCACAGUAAGAGCUUGCUCUUACGGGUGGCGAGUGGCGGACGGGUGAGGAAUACAUCGGAAUCUACUUUUUCGUGGGGGAUAACGUAGGGAAACUUACGCUAAUACCGCAUACGACCUACGGGUGAAAGCAGGGGAUCUUCGGACCUUGCGCGAUUGAAUGAGCCGAUGUCGGAUUAGCUAGUUGGCGGGGUAAAGGCCCACCAAGGCGACGAUCCGUAGCUGGUCUGAGAGGAUGAUCAGCCACACUGGAACUGAGACACGGUCCAGACUCCUACGGGAGGCAGCAGUGGGGAAUAUUGGACAAUGGGCGCAAGCCUGAUCCAGCUAUACCGCGUGGGUGAAGAAGGCCUUCGGGUUGUAAAGCCCUUUUGUUGGGAAAGAAGAGCAGCAGGUUAAUACCCCGCUGUCCUGACGGUACCCAAAGAAUAAGCACCGGCUAACUUCGUG